rnacentral:lncRNA from 1 species
UCCUAAAUUUUUUUUUGCAGAUUCAUAUAUAAAACAAUGUCUAUAGCAAAAAGUUUAAACAAUCGUGAUGUUCAAGCUUUUAUAAGCUCCAAGUGUAAAACUUCUUGACCUGGCAAAACAACUAACAGAUAUUGUUAGGAUUUAAUAAAUGGUUUUACCCAUUCAUGACAAGUAUACCCAAAAUGAACUCUACCCACUUCUUUUCCCAGCUCGUACUCAUUAGAAAAUUUUUUCGAAGCACUAUCGAAAAGUACAUACCUUUUGAUGUGAUGAAAGUGAAAUUACUCAUUCAUAAAGAGAAAUCUAGGUUAAAGAAGCAAAAAUGAAGUUGUAA